ACUGUCAUAGCUCAGAGGCGCCUGAGGAUACGGCCAAAUGCAGUGAGACAUCCUAGGACAGAAAAAAGACAUGAGGUCCGUCCGUCUUCGGAGAAUGUUCACUAUACCCAAAGCUCUGAAGUCUUGUUUUUGCUGCAAGGCGUUAAGUCAGUGGCCCUCACCAGGGGAGACUUUGCUCCACCACCACUUCCACAGGUCAGCGACGGGCCUCCAGCAUAGAGAAAACAUUAGGAGAAAUGCAGCUACAACCGUGAUGCUCCCAAAUAAGCAAUGACGACAAAACAGAAGCCACCAGAAUUCCCAAUGAUGACACGAGACAGGGCGUCCUCAAGUGCCUCCUGCAGAAAGGCAGCCCAGCAAGGUAUUCUAAGA